rnacentral:rRNA from 1 species
GCUAACGACGGUCCAGCAGGCGUGGGAAUGCGUAGUAGCCAAGUGUUGGCCUGAUUGACUGGGUGUAAAGGGUGCGCAGGCGGACUGUGUAGUCUGUGGUGAAAUCUCGCCGCUUAACGGCGAAACGGCCUUAGAUACUAUCAGUCUUGGAGAAGCGAGAGGUUCGUGGAAUUCCGAGUGUAGCAGUGAAAUGUGUAGAUAUUCGGAAGAACACCAGUGGCGAAGGCAGCGAACUGGCGCUUUAUCGACGCUCAUGCACGAAAGCAUGGGGAUCAAACAGGAUUAGAUACCCUAGUAGUC